rnacentral:lncRNA from 1 species
GAAAUGCUGAGCCACAAAGUGUACCUUUUUCAUCGAGUAAUUGAUCACAAUAGUUAUUGCCAGCCCUUCUGAGAGCCUAGAGAGAAAUGUUUCUGUUUUCCUGCUUUUUCAUACUGAUAUUUGCAAAAGAAGCAAGUAGAGUUUCUCAUCCCAUUUUUGAACUGAUUGCAAAAAGAAGAGCCAGAUGACAGAAUGGACCAUCAAAUCCUGGUACCCUUCCCUUUCAUUCUUGUCCUUUACUAAGUGUUUCUGUGCUUGGAGAAUGCAGGGCUUUGAGACAGAUUAAUGCAGCAAGAAGCUCACUGUGCUCCCUGGAGACUCUGAUUGUUUCCUGGUGUUCUCUUUGGCUGUGGGAAGCGUCAUCUUUCAGGUUCAUCGUCUGUGAUGAUGGAGUCUCACAUUUGAAAGCUUUCUAGUCAACUGGAAACUUCACAAGGGAAAAGAAAAAAAAAAAAUGCUGCUA